rnacentral:rRNA from 1 species
UACGUAGGGUGCAAGCGUUGUCCGGAAUUAUUGGGCGUAAAGAGCUCGUAGGUGGUUUGUCGCGUCUGUCGUGAAAGCCCAUGGCUUAACUGUGGGUCUGCGGUGGAUACGGGCAGGCUAGAGGCAGGUAGGGGAGAACGGAAUUCCCGGUGUAGCGGUGAAAUGCGCAGAUAUCGGGAGGAACACCGGUGGCGAAGGCGGUUCUCUGG